GAUAAACGCUGGCGGCGUGCCUAAUACAUGCAAGUCGAACGCAGUGGCGAACGGGUGAGUAAUACAUAAGCAAUCUGCCCACAAAACUGGGAUAACCUCUGGAAACGGGGACUAAUACCGGAUACUAGUGGAUGAGCUUAUGGCGCAUUAGUUAGUUGGUGGGGGAACGGCCCACCAAGACGAUGAUGCGGAGCCGGCCGGAGAGGGUGAGCGGCCACAUUGGUACUGCGACACGGCCCAGACUCUACGCGAUGGAGCAGUAGUGAAUUUUCGGCAAUGGGGGGAACCCUGACCGAGCAACGCCGCGUGAGUGAAGACGGCCUUCGGGUUGUAAAGCUCUGUUGGAAGAAAAGCAUUAUCUUACCAGAAAGCCACGGCUAACUACGUGCCAGCAGCCGCGGUAAUUC
rnacentral:rRNA from 1 species